rnacentral:rRNA from 1 species
CCAUAAGACUCUCGGCAACGGAUAUCUUGGCUCUUGCAUCGAUGAAGAACGUAGCAAAAUGCGAUACCUGGUGUGAAUUGCAGAAUCCCGUGAACCAUCGAGUUUUUGAACGCAAGUUGCGCCCGAGGCCUCUUGGUUGAGGGCACGUCUGACUGGGUGUCACAC